rnacentral:rRNA from 1 species
CACGUAGGCGGUAGGACAAGUUAGAUGUGAAAUAUUAGGGCUUAACCUUGAUGCUGCAUCUAAAACUGUUUUACUAGAGUUCACUAGAGGGAGGCGGAAUUUCCGGUGUAGCGGUGAAAUGCGUAGAUAUCGGAAGGAACACCAGUGGCGAAGGCGGCCUUCUGGAGUUGAACUGACGCUAAGGUGCGAAAGCGUGGGGAGCGAACG